rnacentral:rRNA from 1 species
AACGUAGGAGGCAAGCGUUAUCCGGAAUUACUGGGCGUAAAGCGCGUGUAGGCGGCUGCGUGUGUCGGGCGUGAAAUCCCAUGGCUCAACCAUGGAAGUGCACCCGAAACUGCGUAGCUAGAGUCCUGGAGAGGAAGGUGGAAUGCUUGGUGUAGAGGUGAAAUUCGUAGAUAUCAAGCGGAACACCGGUGGCGAAGGCGGCCUUCUGGACAGUGACUGACGCUGAGACGCGAAAGCGUGGGGAGCAAACAGG